rnacentral:rRNA from 1 species
AUUGAACGCUGGCGGCAGGCCUAACACAUGCAAGUCGAACGAGUGGCGGACGGGUGAGUAAUGUCUGGGAAACUGCCUGAUGGAGGGGGAUAACUACUGGAAACGGUAGCUAAUACCGCAUACCAUCGGAUGUGCCCAGAUGGGAUUAGCUUGUUGGUGGGGUAACGGCUCACCAAGGCGACGAUCCCUAGCUGGUCUGAGAGGAUGACCAGCCACACUGGAACGGAGACACGGACCAGACUCCUACGGGAGGAAGCGGGGGGGAAUAUUGCACAAUGGGCGCAAGCCUGAUGCAGCCAUGCAGCGUGUAGGAAGAAGGCCUUCGGGUUGUAAAGUACUUUCAGCGGGGAGGCGUUACUCGCAGAAGAAGCACCGGCUAACUCCGUGCCAGCAGCCGCGGUAAUUC